rnacentral:pre_miRNA from 15 species
GUAGGAUGAGGUAGUAGAUUGUAUAGUUGUAGGUCAUAACCCAUCUUGGAGAUAACUAUACAGUCUACUGUCUUUCCCAC